UGAGGAAUAUUGGUCAAUGGGCGAGAGCCUGAACCAGCCAAGUCGCGUGAAGGAAGAAGGAUCUAUGGUUCGUAAACUUCUUUUUUAGGGGAAUAAAGUGCGGUGCGUGUACCGUUUUGUAUGUACCCUACGAAUAAGGAUCGGCUAACUCCGUGCCAGCAGCCGCGGUAAUACGGAGGAUCCAAGCGUUAUCCGGAUUUAUUGGGUUUAAAGGGUGCGUAGGCGGGCCCUUAAGUCAGUGGUGAAAGUUUGCAGCUUAACUGUAAAAUUGCCAUUGAAACUGAGGGUCUUGAGUGUAAAUAAGGUAGGCGGAAUGUGUUGUGUAGCGGUGAAAUCCGUAGAUAUUCGGAGGAACACCGGUGGCGAAGGCGGCUUCCUGGACCGAUACUGACGCUGAGACGCGAAAGCGUGGGGAGCAAACA
rnacentral:rRNA from 1 species